rnacentral:rRNA from 1 species
AUUGAACGCUGGCGGCAGGCCUAACACAUGCAAGUCGAGCGGAUGACGGGAGCUUGCUCCUUGAUUCAGCGGCGGACGGGUGAGUAAUGCCUAGGAAUCUGCCUGGUUGUGGGGGACAACGUUUCGAAAGGAACGCUAAUACCGCAUACGUCCUACGGGAGAAAGCAGGGGACCUUCGGGCCUUGCGCUAUCAGAUGAGCCUAGGUCGGAUUAGCUUGUUGGUGAGGUAAUGGCUCACCAAGGCGACGAUCCGUAACUGGUCUGAGAGGAUGAUCAGUCACACUGGAACUGAGACACGGUCCAGACUCCUACGGGAGGCAGCAGUGGGGAAUAUUGGACAAUGGGCGAAAGCCUGAUCCAGCCAUGCCGCGUGUGUGAAGAAGGUCUUCGGAUUGUAAAGCACUUUAAGUUGGGAGGAAGGGUUGUAGAUUAAUACUCUGCAAUUUUGACGUUACCGACAGAAUAAGCACCGGCUAACUCUGUG